GACGGGGGGGGCAAGUGUUCUUCGGAAUGACUGGGCGUAAAGGGCGUGUAGGCGGUCGGUCAAGUCUGGUGUGAAAGCCCGGGGCUCAGCUCCGGAAGUGCAUCGGAAACUAGCUGGCUGGAGCGCGAUAGAGGAGGGCGGAAUUCCUGGUGUAGCGGUGAAAUGCGUAGAUAUCAGGAGGAACACCGGCGGCGAAGGCGGCCCUCUGGAUCGUUGCUGACGCUGAGACGCGAAAGCGUGGGGAGCAAACAGG
rnacentral:rRNA from 1 species